rnacentral:rRNA from 1 species
GGGCGCAAGCCUGAUGCAGCGACGCCGCGUGAGGGAUGACGGCCUUCGGGUUGUAAACCUCUUUCAGUAGGGAAGAAGCGAAAGUGACGGUACCUGCAGAAGAAGCGCCGGCUAACUACGUGCCAGCAGCCGCGGUAAUACGUAGGGCGCAAGCGUUAUCCGGAAUUAUUGGGCGUAAAGAGCUCGUAGGCGGUUUGUCGCGUCUGCUGUGAAAGACCGGGGCUCAACUCCGGUUCUGCAGUGGGUACGGGCAGACUAGAGUGAUGUAGGGGAGACUGGAAUUCCUGGUGUAGCGGUGAAAUGCGCAGAUAUCAGGAGGAACACCGAUGGCGAAGGCAGGUCUCUGGGCAUUAACUGACGCUGAGGAGCGAAAGCAUGGGGAGCGAACAGGAUUAGAUACCCUGGUAGUCCAUGCCGUAAACGUUGGGCAUUAGGUGUGGGGGACAUUCCACGUUUUCCGCGCCGUAGCUAACGCAUUAAGUGCCCCGCCUGGGGAGUACGGCCGCAAGGCUAAAACUCAAA